rnacentral:rRNA from 1 species
AACGAACGCUGGCGGCACGCCUAACACAUGCAAGUCGAACGGGAUCCUGGUUUCGGCCAGGUGAGAGUGGCGGACGGGUGAGUAACGCGUGGGAACCUGCCCAGUGGUGGGGGAUAACUGCGGGAAACUGCAGCUAAUACCGCAUGAGCCCGAAAGGGGAAAGAUUGAUCGCCAUUGGAGGGGCCCGCGUUCGAUUAGGUAGUUGGUGAGGUAACGGCUCACCAAGCCUUCGAUCGANAGCUGGUCUGAGAGGAUGAUCAGCCACACUGGGACUGAGAUACGGCCCAGACUCCUACGGGAGGCAGCAGUGGGGAAUAUUGGGCAAUGGGCGAAAGCCUGACCCAGCAACGCCGCGUGAGGGAGGAAAUCCUUCGGGAUGUAAACCUCACAAGCAAGGGGAAGAGAGCUACGGGCUGAAUAAAUCCCGUAGUGCGACGGUACCUUGCGUAAGCCACGGCUAACUACGUGCCAGCAGCCGCCGCAGUAAG